rfam:Ipomoea nil DNA, scaffold: scaffold1262, cultivar: Tokyo-kokei standard.
GCUGGUUUGCCCGAGAGGUUAAGGGGGAAGACCUAAGAUCUUUUGCACAUAAAUGCGCAUGGGUUCAAACCCCAUAGCCAGCA